CCUAGGCAGUCGCCAGCAGAGGAACAGAGAGGCAAAGAGACAGGUCAGCGUGCGCCCGAGAGUCCACAACACCCUCCGCAGCUCUUAAUACAAGUCAGGUCUAAGACCACAGAUUCGGACACUCAAGGGGUGCUCCUUAGAAUGAAAACCAUGAACUUCUUGUUUGUGAAGACCAUGUUUGCUUCUCCUAAAAAUGAGCAUCUUCAUUCAGAGGAAAUUGCAGAGGGAAAACAAGGGACAGAAAGAAGAAAGGCACUGGGAAGAGCUGUGUUUGUAAAAUACACUAGAACAACCCAGCAACACCCAGCGUUUUGCCCAGGGCUUUAGAGAAGACACUGCCCACUACAGCAGAGACACAGGAGCUGGAGGGCCGUCCCCUGCGGGCGUCUGCAGACCUGUGGUCACACCACACACCCCUGGGAAACCGCAGGGCCAUGCUGCUCUAAGGGCCUAUCACUAAACGACCGCUCUCCUGAGUCACCUGAGUUGGCAGGUUCCCGACGCCUGCCUUCAGAAGGGACGAGGCUAGUUCUGCAGCAGGCUGUGCCGGCCGUGGUCAGAGUGCCUUCCUCCUUAGUGUGCUCUAUGCUCCACCAGAUGGCAACAUUCUACACAUUUAGUCAUCAGCACACCCAGGGGAUGGGAAGGGCUCCACCAGGCACCACUUCCCGGGACUGGGGGUGCGGCCAGGUGGUUGCAGGGAUCCUUAGAUGCUCAGGCUCUGCGUUCCUGGCCCCGCUGUGGCUCCCAGCAUUCAUGCUAGAGCUGGGGGCCAAUCCAGGGGUCAGAAUUCAUCCCCCACUCCAUGCUCCUCCAGAUCUACACCUCUGCAGGAGGAACCAGCACCAGCCCAGGGACACAUCUCCCAGAACCCCUGCAUGUCGCGCCUUAUGGACACUGGUUAGCCGCUGCACGCUGGAGAUGCACACAGCACACAGAGCUAACGCCUAAAACAACCAUUCCACAGUGGCAAAGAGCCAGGUGCCAAACCCCCUCGCUACUGAUCUGGACCCCAGAUGAAAUUCAGCAGCUGCGGAUGCGAUGAGCUUGUGGUUGCUGAGGCACCGAGUUGGGUAGAUAACACUUGGCGAUUGAAUGGGAAUUUUUAGCUUUUUUGGUUUAUAUUAUGAAAGAUUAUGGGGAAGAAAAUGAAAAUUAUACUCAUUCCUUCUGAAUAGAGCGCUCCAUGAAAAUUCUACUGCUAUGACAGAAAAUCUCUUGGUAUUUAUUCCAAUACAGUUUUCUUACUUUUAAAUGUCUGGCUGGACUGUUCCAGCAAAUAUGCCCCCGCCCCCCCAAAAAAAAACCCAUAUAUUCCUGGGUCCCCCAAAGCAUACAACAGAAUACACACAGGACUCUAUCCCUAGCUGUACACGGGGGAGGGAGUUAGACCUCAAGGAUAGGAUCAUAUUUCGCAUUUUUUUCAUUUUGGAGAGGAUGUAGUUCAAAUUUUUACCGACUUUUAAGUUAUACUUCAUACAGGAUUGUGUCACUUUCAGCAAAUACUAUAUGAGAAUAUUAUCAUUUAACUUAAAAAAUCAUCAAUGAACCGAUGUUUUUCCGAUGCCUCUUCCCAAGUGGCUCUGUCUCCAGUCUGGUCUUUUCCUCCUAGUCCAGCGCAGGGGAAAAUUACUCCAGAGCAUUAGGUUUGCUCAGUUGUACUGUUUGUGAAGAUAUGAAGUUUCCAGACCCCAGGAAAAACCCGUGGAAUAAAAGCCCUUUCCAGACUUACUAUUAUAACAAUGCCACCCGCUAAUUCGUAUGUGCUAAAUUCUUUUUUUUUUUUUAAAUGCUGCUGGGACUCAAACGCAGGGCCUGUGCAUGCCAGGCCAGCACACUACCACGAUGCUGGGUGCACCCCAGCCCUGUAGUGCCAAGUCCUUGACACGUGCUAAGCAUCUGACCUCGACUCAGCGCUGAACCCUGGGCGAUUCUGCUCAUGCAGUGGUCAGUGUUACUUAUGACCACUGUGCAGAUGAGCCAGCUGGAGUUAGAGGGCUUCAUAGCUUGCCCCAGGGCACACAAGCUGGAUCUGAAUACAGGUCACCUGUGGAUUUUCUGCUCCCAUCCCAGGCUGCUGAGCUGGCCCAUCAAGUCGCAGAGACACUGGGGUUUUGUGCUGAGGAUAGAAGCAGAGUCUUGCGUGUGCUGACCACGUGUCAACCCUGAACUUGGCCCCAGCCCUACACUUAACUUUCUAGGUGUUUUGCAGUGGAUUCUUGGCAUGGUCUCAGGAAGGCCUCUAGUUUUUCUGAAUCCCAUUUUUAAUGCCAGAUUGUGACCAUAUGAUUUUCUUAGAGGAAACAGUACUAACUGUGUCUUUCCAACACAGAAGGGCUGGGAGAGUCCUCAGAUAAGGCAACAGGAUCACACUGAAGGCCUGUCUCGCACUGACACUUGAACAUCCUCGGUGAGGAAGCCCUGGGGCGAACAAGGAGAUCUGUCAGGUUCCCUAGAAACUCAGUUCCCUAACUUCUUCCUGGAAGAGGCUGAACUCAUGAUUUAGAGGUUCCUUCCAGAUGCUGGGAAGUUUUAUAAAUAGCCAGGUUGCAAAAUACCAGGACAAUGAUGUCAGAACUGCAAGGCUCGGCUGGCCAGCAGGAGGCUUGGUGUCCUGUGUCACCACGUCUGAUUCGGACGGUCACUGGAAACCACCAACAUGCUCAUACCUCAGUCCCAAGCCUCAGACUUCUUUCACAAGCCAAACUGGGCCAUAGCCACCGAAGCCAUUUUAAAAGGGCAGGCGAUCUGAGAGUUCUAAACCGUCUGCCUUGUAAGCUGGCUGGUCUGUCCUGGGCUUGCUGAAUCAGAGUGGAGCCAGAAGCCACGCUGGGUCCCAUGUCUGCUUCCUAAGGUAGCAGUGCUGAGUGUGGGAGGGGCCACGGCUUUGAGGCAGGCAGCCACACUCUCUCUGGGGCCACUCUACCAGUCAGCUGUCACCGCCAGAAGCCAGGGUUUGUGACAGAUGUCAGUGAAAGAGACGUCUUCCUAGUGUCACACGCACACAGGAUAUUCUCUUAUCUUUAAGAGAUCAUUCAUGUUACAAAUCCCAGACUCCAACAGAACCCAAAUCGAAACCCUCUUUCUGCUGAUCAGGCUUGGCUGCCCAGGGAUGGCACUCAGGGGUGACACUGCGCCCCAGGGAUCUUUGGCCAUCUCUGCAGACUGCUUGGUUGCACGGUGGAGGGCGUGCCAGGCUGCUGCUGACCCCCCCGCAGCACAGGACACAAAGCCCUGGUGAUGGAGAACCACCUGGUCCAAAAGUCCUCAGUGCCCAAGCUGAGCCCCGCUACUGCAGGCCUGCCACAGUCUCAGAGGCUUAAAAUCCACUCGGCAAAGAUAGGAGGCACACCUCUUUUAGCUGCUGGGGUCCUGUGGUGACCCUUCUAGACAAAGCCCUUGUUGCCAUGGGGUGUAUCUCCUAGCACCCUCUCAAACUUCUAGAACCCUCUCUCCUGCUCAGAUCUCCCCAAAGGCAAAAAAGCAAUGGCCCAGACCUCUUCAUCUGCCUGGAAGAGUGAAGGCAGGUAGGAAAGUCAAGAGGGGAAUACAGACUGCCUGUGUCCCUUCCUGGAAGACGGGGCCACAGCCAGGGGUAGCCGAGAAUCAGGGACCAGCACGUUGCACCUGCUCUGAAUUCUACACAGCCCACAGGUGGAGCCCAGAACAUGGCCUCAGAAAGACAAAGGUCCCCUGGACAGCGCAGGAAACCUCCACCAACUACCGUGCUGCUUGGAUCACGUGAGAUAAUGUUGCACAGGGCUUGACACAUGCCUCUGAACACCUCCCACGUAGCCCUGGGGACACGGCCAUCAUCAGCUCUGAGAUGGACAGACAGGUGCAAGGCAGAAGGAUGGAGACUAAGAGAGUCACAUGCACAGCUGGGGACCUCCAACAUACAGCGUCAGAAAAGCAAGCAUGCCAGGUAGCAGCCUCCCUGAGCCCAGGGACUCAGCCACAGCGCAGGCCAUCGCCACGUGGAUAGGGCUGAUUCAGAAGCUCUGCAGGUCAGUGCAUGGGAGGAGAGGACCUUGGUGGGCCCAGCAGAUGAUGGACGUACAGCAUCGGGGAACUGCCUAUGUUACUUAAGACCAAAGCUCCCAGCUCUAGCUUGAAAUUACUGCCAUCUCUCGAGCUUGACAGAGUCAUAGGAAAUGCAUCUUAAGCUCUAUGUGAGAUUGGUGCGACUUCCUUCUCAUUUGGAGAGACAGGAGAAGGCAGGAAAUUCAAUAAUGUUGGACCAACUGUUCCUGCGGUGGUUUCCAGGCCCCUAAGCCCCACUUACACACAAGACUGCAACGAGCUGUUUACAAAUCCCGUGCGCUCCUCAUUAAAGCAGGUCCCUGAGCACGGUCAGGAUGAAACUCUUAGCUUGAUUUAAGUCCCCAAUGCUUGAGAGCAUUUCAUUGCUUCCUUAUUUAGGAAAUGCCAAGUGCCCGAUAAAUGAGAGGACUACUCAUCCAGCCCCACAGGCACACACUGUCUCACUGGAACCCCACUUUGCAGGUAUGGAAACCAAGUCUGAGGGUGGAAUGGGAGCCUGCCCAGAUGUGUAAUCGCAGCUGCAGAGAUAGGGCCUGAAUCAGGACGAGCCACCCUGGACACGUCCCCUGGGGCCACCAACACAUUCUGCACCCAGCACAGCCCCAGCUGCCCUGCACCCUCCUACCCUGCCUUCUCCGUCAGCCCCAGCUUUCAAGAACAAGGGGGCUUUGUGAGCUCCUGGCCAGCUGCAGAGGCCGUGGCACCCCACACCAGCCAUCUGAAAACCUGGAGGGGCCUCUGAGAAAGUGGGCACCGAGCAAGCCUCCUCACACCUACUUGACUGUCACUGAGGGUGUGAUCAGUCACCACGCACCAUCGUUAGAGCUGGAAGCUCGUUAGAGAUGCACCUCCAGACCCUCGAUUUGAGAUGCGCCGGCCGGUGUAGGCCAGUGCAAGGCGCCCAGAGGGGAAGACCCGUGAGUGACGGCAUCGUAAGAAGGACGCAGCCCUCACUGUCCUCCUGGGCUCAGCUGGUAAAACCAGAACCUCAGGACAGGAGCCCCAUUGCCCCGAAGGAGAGUCUGCAACAGACUCCAACAUGUGUUUUCGGGCAGGCUCUCUGCAAAUUCUGAAGCAGGGGGUCCCUGGCUUAAUGAUCUCCCAUGUCACUGGCCCUCCGUCUCCCCAUCUGUGAAAUUCAGUGGCAGGCCCAGUUCCCACGUUUGGGGCUGGGGAGAAUUAUGCUCCAUGCACCAUUCAUAGGCAUAGGGAAGCAGUGUUCGGGGGGGUCGGGGACCCUGGUGCUUGGGGUCAUGCAGUCCUUAAUGCAAAGACUGUUUCUGAUCUUUUUAUUGCUGUGUGACCUCAGAUAAGUUACUUCUGUGGGGUCCCUUCUUCCUCCUGGGAGGGUUGUGGAGUCCUCCUACUUCAUAUGACGAGGGUUUUGUGGCUGGUUCUGCACAGGGCUUCCCCCCAUGCUGAACACGCAGGAGUGACGCACACUUCCUGCCAACAGUGCACACUGGAAAGAGACACUUAGGAUGUCACACAGCAUGGUAUGCCUCCUUUCCGGACACAAGCCUCCAGGGUGCAUGCACACAAUAUUUUGUGGAAAAAAAAUAAAGAAUGAUGAAAACAUUUCACCUCAGAUGGGAGAUGGUUUCCUUUCAGCCAAGAGAACCAAACUUUCGGGGGAGACUUUAAAGGCAGGCUCCUGUGGACUGCCAUCCACCCCAGCUCUGCUGGCCGGGGGAGAGUCUGCACAGGCCCAGCUGCCUUACUAAGCCCCUCGUCCAUCAUUCACUCCAUUAAAGAAGCUGUCACUAUAAUCACUUUUAGAUAGAUCUGUGGCUUGCGGCUACAUCAGCUUCCUGUUGGGGGAUGAGUCACAUACGAAGUUCAUCCGAGCCUGUUAUUGACAGCUAAUAAUGCAUCUGUCGAGACGACCCGUGUCAUCCAAGGGUUUGGCUCUGCAUGCUGAUUCGGUGUUGAUCCCUCCAUCUCCUACCACUCCUGGUCCAUCACAUAGUUCCUUGGCGGUAGCCCCUGAGGCUCUUUCCAGCUUGAUAAACAGUUCACCCUCUGUACCCAGUCUGGGUGGAAGGGAGCAUGAGAGAUGGAGAGGAAACAAUCAAAUAAACAUGGAGAUUUACAAAUCAGCUAAAGAAGGCUGACCCUUGCAGCAUCCCAUGUGCUAAAGCUUAAGUCUCGCCCACAGCC